UACGAGGGGGGCAAAUGUUGUUCGGAAUCACUGGGCGUAAAGGGAGCGUAGGCGGGUUUCUAAGUCAGGUGUUUAAUCCCGGGGCCCAACCCCGGACAGGCACUUGAAACUGGGAAUCUUGAAUAGUGGAGAGGUCAGUGGAAUUGGGGGUGUAGCGGUGGAAUGCGUAGAGAUCCCCAAGAACACCAGUUGCGAAGGCGGCUGACUGGACCACAACUGACGCUGAGGUGCGAAAGCGUGGGGAGCAAACGGG
rnacentral:rRNA from 1 species